UUUCCGUAGGUGAACCUGCGGAAGGAUCAUUCAUAAUAAGUGUUUUAUGGCACUUUUUUAAAUCCAUAUCCACCUUGUGUGCAAUGUCAGGGUUGAUGUUUCUCUCGAGAGGAUCAACCCCAAACAUCAACUAUAUCUCAACUCUUUUUCUGAAAAAUAUUAUGAAUAAAACAAUUCAAAAUACAACUUUCAACAACGGAUCUCUUGGCUCUC
rnacentral:misc_RNA from 1 species